UACAGAGGUCUCAAGCGUUGUUCGGAUUCAUUGGGCGUAAAGGGUGCGUAGGCGGCGCGGUAAGUCGGGUGUGAAAUCUCGGAGCUUAACUCCGAAACUGCAUUCGAUACUGCCGUGCUUGAGGACUGGAGAGGAGACUGGAAUUUACGGUGUAGCGGUGAAAUGCGUAGAUAUCUGGAGGAACACCGGUGGCGAAGGCGGCAUCCUGGACCGGUAUUGACGCUGAUGAGCGAAAGCUAGGGGAGCAAACGGG
rnacentral:rRNA from 1 species